rnacentral:lncRNA from 1 species
GCACCCAGAGGUGCCGGAGGAGGCUGUGGGAAGCUCAGUCUAAUAUCAGAGACAGAAAUGUGUGAAGUGAUUUGUACUGUAGAAUAUUGGACAUGGAAUGGCAUCAAUGGGAGAAAAAUAAGUAGAUUGGAAGUUUUUUACCUCCAGACUAAAAAAUUGUGAAGAAUGUCAUUCAGAAAUGUGACAUUGCAGCUGCACAGGGAUUUGGGAUGAUGACUUGCAAGGAUUGCCUCUGGACUAGUGGUUACUCUUUGGUAACAUUUAAAAAGACAAUUUCUUAAUGUCCGGCACAGUGAACUUCAUCUCCGUUAUGAACAAGGAAAAGCUGAUCACUGAUGGGAAAAUCACAGGUGCUGAGAUACACCUACAUCAGUCAUGAAAAUUUGAGACUGCAAGAGAGCCAAGAUUUUACCCACAUGGAUUCUGAAGUUGAUGAUGACUGUGGAUAACAUCAGGUAAAUUAAAUGAGCAGGAAUCAAGGAAGGUUACAGAUAAAUGCACAAUGUGUCUGAGGGAAUUCUAAGUUUUAUGUCACUAUACAUUGCUCCAAGAUAGCAUUCAACUUGUUUGACUUAAACCCCUUACAUUUUCUUAUUCUGAGGCCUCCAUUCUAUACUUAAAUUGGUUUAUAAUGGUACAGAGAUCUGUUGCAAAGAUUAAUAUCAGAGGCAUAACAAAGUUAGUGCAGGAAUUAUCCAUUGUAUUAUUAAUUUAAUAACUUGAAAGCAAACAUUAUUAAUCAACAAAUGCUUGUUUUGAACUCAGCUGUGACCAGCUUCAUAGGCUUAAUAUUGACAAACCCUUAUUCAAUUGUUUAAAAGGAAGAAUUUGCUCCUCCUCCCCCAAGUAUUUCCACUGUUCAUUAUCUCAAUGGGAAUGAGUUUUUGAUUAGAUUAACAAUUCUGUUUAUUCCUGAGAAGUUUGUAAAGA